GAUGAACGCUGGCGGCGUGCCUAAUACAUGCAAGUCGAGCGAACAGACGAGGAGCUUGCUCCUCUGACGUUAGCGGCGGACGGGUGAGUAACACGUGGAUAACCUACCUAUAAGACUGGGAUAACUUCGGGAAACCGGAGCUAAUACCGGAUAAUAUAUUGAACCGCAUGGUUCAAUAGUGAAAGACGGUUUUGCUGUCACUUAUAGAUGGAUCCGCGCCGCAUUAGCUAGUUGGUAAGGUAACGGCUUACCAAGGCAACGAUGCGUAGCCGACCUGAGAGGGGGAUCGGCCACACUGGAACUGAGACACGGUCCAGACUCCUACGGGAGGCAGAAGUAGGGAAUCUUCCGCAAUGGGCGAAAGCCUGACGGAGAAACGCCGCGUGAGGGAUGAAGGUCUUCGGAUCGUAAAACUCUGUUAUUAGGGAAGAACAAAUGUGUAAGUAACUAUGCACGUCUUGACGGUACCUAAUCAGAAAGCCACGGCUAACUACGUG
rnacentral:rRNA from 1 species